rnacentral:rRNA from 1 species
GAUGAACGCUGGCGGCGUGCCUAAUACAUGCAAGUCGAGCGAACAGACGAGGAGCUUGCUCCUCUGACGUUAGCGGCGGACGGGUGAGUAACACGUGGAUAACCUACCUAUAAGACUGGGAUAACUUCGGGAAACCGGAGCUAAUCCCGGAUAACAUGUUGAACCGCAUGGUUCAACAGUGAAAGACGGUCUUGCUGUCACGUAUAGAUGGAUCCGCGCCGCAUUAGCUAGUUGGUAAGGUAACGGCUUACCAAGGCAACGAUGCGUAGCCGACCUGAGAGGCUGAUCGGCCACACUGGAACUGAGACACGGUCCAGACUCCUACGGGAGGCAGCAGUAGGGAAUCUUCCGCAAUGGGCGAAAGCCUUACGGAGCAACGCCGCGUGAGUGAAGAAGGUCUUCGGAUCGUAAAACUCUGUUAUUAGGGAAGAACAAAUGUGUAAGUAACUAUGCACGUCUUGACGGUACCUAAUCAGAAAGCCACGGCUAACUACGUG